UAACGCGUGGGGCAACCUGCCCCAUAGAGGGGGACGAACAGCUGGAAACGGCUGCUAAUACCGCAUAACAAGGAGAGAGCGCAUGUUCUUUUCUUCAAAGAUUUAUCGCUAUGGGAUGGACCCGCGUCUGAUUAGCUGGUUGGUGAGGUAACGGCUCACCAAGGCGACGAUCAGUAGCCGGCUUGAGAGAGUGGACGGCCACAUUGGGACUGAGACACGGCCCAGACUCCUACGGAAGGCAGCAG
rnacentral:rRNA from 1 species